rnacentral:lncRNA from 1 species
GGCGUGAGCCACUGCACCUGGCCUAUAAACAAGCUUUUAUACAUUUCAGGUAGUAUUUGCUUGUCACUUGGUGCAGACAUUUUUCUCAAUCUGUUGUCUUUUUAAAAUUCUGUCCAGUUUUUGUAUUUUUGAACGUUAGUCUUCCUUUGUUGUUUCUUCUGUUGUUUCAAAGUUUUGAGAACGCUGACGUUUAUCCAUAAAUAUAACUGCCUUAUCCUAUUAAAUAUAUAGUUUCUAUGGCUGUUCUUUAAAAUAUUUAGCACUUUAAUCCACUUGGUGUUUAUUUUGAAAUACGAUGUGAAACACAUUUUUGUCCUCCAAAUUUUCAUUCAUUUAUCUGCGCAUUCUUUACAUAGUUCAUCUUUUCUUACUGCCGUGUUUGGGAAUGUUAUUUUACUAUGUAUCCCAUCAGGAUUAAUGCGUGUGUUUGUUCAGUCUCAUUCCUUUCCGUUGAUCUCAGCUUCUAUUUUUGUUUCUGCUCUUAGUCACUGCCCAGCAGCGCCAAAGGAACAUCCCGCCCCCUGCAGGCAGCUGGUGUCCCCACAACCUGGGAAGCCUGGGGCAGGGCCUCAGGGGACUCCUGGUGUUAGUCCUCCGAGCCCGGGUGGACGUGUCGCUCUGUCCCUGCGGGAGGAUUCGGGGCCCCUUUGACAGGCCUCCUUCUAUGCCGGUUUCCUGGGGCCUCGAGCUUCCUGGGUUCCACGUCUCUAGUAACCAGUAGAGACGGGCCUUUACCCUGCCGUUGGGUGGGGACUGUCCCCUUCUGGGCUCUUCCUUUCGGGCCUUUCCACCUCUCCGACCCCAGGGCAUUCGCCCCACCACGUUGCCGGCACAGUGCUGGCUCCGCGGCCCGCGGUUCUGGCAGUCAGCGCGGAAUGCCAUGGCACCGAGCCUCUGUGUCUAGAUGAGUUCUGGGCGCUGAUUUUCCAGGUCACUCGGAAGCUGCUCUCUGGGCCCGCCUGUUUCCCUUCCCUUUGCCUCCUUGUCCCGCUUCCCUCGCAGUAUACCACUCACUGUACCCCUCCUAAAAAGGACCACUGCAGGAAGCGUUAUUGAAGCAGACACGGUUCAAACACGAAAAACAAACUCUUCUUUAUUCAACAGAUGUGCACGAAUCUAUUGUGUGUUAGAUACGGACCCGGGGCCCCACGCGCCGCUCCUGGGCAGGGCCGUGCACCCGGAAGGCGCCGAGGCGCGCCCAGCAGAGGGAGCAUGCGGGCAGGGCAUUCCGCGGGUACCCGCGGAGCAGGACGGCCACCCACGCCGGGGCCCCUGGGGCUCCACCCAGGACGCACACCCGGAGAGACCCAAUGACUGCGUUUCGCACCUGGGCGCAAGCUGGUUACUGGGCACGCGCUGACAACCCACAUCUGGAAAACCCGGUCCUAACUGGAGAAUAAAACUUAAAUGCACGUGAACUCACCGGCAGCUGAACAUUUCCGGGCUCUGGACCUGCCUCGGGUCAAGAAGGGCACAAAAGCGGGAUCAGAAGACCAAAGCUUUCCAAGCAGCUGUGUGGGGCAGCUGUGCAACUGAGACCAUGCUCAACCUUCCCUUCCUCAUCCCCUGUGAACUCUCUGAGGCCAGUCAAUUCCUGGGGUGGGACAUGCUGGUGGGUGGAAGGAAUGUGGGGAAGAGCUACCAGUUACACCAAAUAGAGAUUCAUCCAGGUUAACCAGCAGGUUUUUCAAACAUGCAAGUCCCUGAAAGGACUGAAAUAUAUGGGUACCAGAGUUAGUAGAGCCCCAGAAGGGGAAUCUGCCUGCAGGGUCUAUGCACAGAAGUUCUCUGGGCCCUGGGUCUCAGAGGCAUCUGGAAACACAAAGAGUGGGGCAGUGUUAUUCCUUACUACCCUCAGGGUGUGAGUGUACCUGCAGCUGAGCACAUUGAGUUAGGCCUUCAGGGCAGGCACAGAUCCAGAUUUAGACCCAGGGUGACCCAGGAGUUAGGCUUCCUCACCUUUUGACUCCUCUCCUCUCUAGCUAGUCUAUGUUUUUUCCCACCUGAGGUGUGGUAUUAUAGAAAUCAUUCCAUUUUGUAACUGCAAUAGCUUUAAGAAAAUGAAAUGGGUGGGACAAAGGGGUUAAUUUUUCACUUUUUACAUUUUGGUGUUAUAUGAGUUCUUAAAACGAGCCAGGGUUAUUUUUGUUAUUUUAUUUUAUUAUUUGAGAUGGGGUCUCACCCUGUCGCCCAGGCUAGAGUGCAGUGGUGCAAUCAUGGCUCGAUGCAACCUCAACUUCCCCUGGCUCAGGUGAUUCUCCCACCUCAGCCUCCCAAUAAGCUGGGACUAUAGUUGCAUGCCACCAUGCCUGGCUAAUUUUUGCAUUUUUUGUAAAGAUGGGGUUUUGCCAUGUUGCCCCUCAAAUUCCUCAGCACAAGCAAUCCUCAUGCUUUGGCCUCCCAAAGUGCUGGGAUUACAGGCAUGAGCCACCACCGCGCCCGGCUCCAAGAAAA